rnacentral:rRNA from 1 species
GUGAGGAAUAUUGGUCAAUGGACGGAAGUCUGAACCAGCCAUGCCGCGUGCAGGAAUAAGGUCCUAUGGAUUGUAAACUGCUUUUAUUCGGGAAUAAACCUCUUUACGUGUAGGGAGCUGAAGGUACCGAAGGAAUAAGCACCGGCUAACUCCGUGCCAGCAGCCGCGGUAAUACGGAGGGUGCAAGCGUUAUCCGGAAUCAUUGGGUUUAAAGGGUCCGCAGGCGGGCUAUCAAGUCAGAGGUGAAAUCCCACAGCUUAACUGUGGAACUGCCUUUGAAACUGAUGGUCUUGAAUUAAGUGGGCGUUGGCGGAAUAUGACAUGUAGCGGUGAAAUGCAUAGAUAUGUCAUGGAACACCGAAAGCGAAGGCAGCUAACGAUACUUAUAUUGACGCUCAUGGACGAAAGCGUGGGUAGCGAACAGGAUUAGAAACUCGGGUAGUCC